ACGAACGCUGGCGGCGUGCCUAAUACAUGCAAGUCGAACGCUUCUUUUUCCACCGGAGCUUGCUCCACCGGAAAAAGAGGAGUGGCGAACGUGUGAGUAACACGUGGGUAACCUGCCCAUCAGAAGGGGAUAACACUUGGAAACAGGUGCUAAUACCGUAUAACAAUCGAAACCGCAUGGUUUUGAUUUGAAAGGCGCUUUCGGGUGUCGCUGAUGGAUGGACCCGCGGUGCAUUAGCUAGUUGGUGAGGUAACGGCUCACCAAGGCGACGAUGCAUAGCCGACCUGAGAGGGUGAUCGGCCACAUUGGGACUGAGACACGGCCCAAACUCCUACGGGAGGCAGCAGUAGGGAAUCUUCGGCAAUGGACGAAAGUCUGACCGAGCAACGCCGCGUGAGUGAAGAAGGUUUUCGGAUCGUAAAACUCUGUUGUUAGAGAAGAACAAGGAUGAGAGUAACUGUUCAUCCCUUGACGGUAUCUAACCAGAAAGCCACGGCUAACUACGUGCCAGCAGCCGCGGUAAUACGUAGGUGGCAAGCGUUGUCCGGAUUUAUUGGGCGUAAAGCGAGCGCAGGCGGUUUCUUAAGUCUGAUGUGAAAGCCCCCGGCUCAACCGGGGAGGGUCAUUGGAAACUGGGAGACUUGAGUGCAGAAGAGGAGAGUGGAAUUCCAUGUGUAGCGGUGAAAUGCGUAGAUAUAUGGAGGAACACCAGUGGCGAAGGCGGCUCUCUGGUCUGUAACUGACGCUGAGGCUCGAAAGCGUGGGGAGCAAACAGGAUUAGAUACCCUGGUAGUCCACGCCGUAAACGAUGAGUGCUAAGUGUUGGAGGGUUUCCGCCCUUCAGUGCUGCAGCUAACGCAUUAAGCACUCCGCCUGGGGAGUACGACCGCAAGGUUGAAACUCAAAGGAAUUGACGGGGGCCCGCACAAGCGGUGGAGCAUGUGGUUUAAUUCGAAGCAACGCGAAGAACCUUACCAAGUCUUGACAUCCUGCGACGGUGCUGGAAACAGUAUUUUCCUUCGGGACGCAGAGACAGGUGGUGCAUGGUUGUCGUCAGCUCGUGUCGUGAGAUGUUGGGUUAAGUCCCGCAACGAGCGCAACCCUUAUUGUUAGUUGCCAUCAUUUAGUUGGGCACUCUAGCAAGACUGCCGGUGACAAACCGGAGGAAGGUGGGGAUGACGUCAAAUCAUCAUGCCCCUUAUGACCUGGGCUACACACGUGCUACAAUGGGAAGUACAACGAGUCGCAAAGUCGCGAGGCUAAGCUAAUCUCUUAAAGCUUCUCUCAGUUCGGAUUGUAGGCUGCAACUCGCCUACAUGAAGCCGGAAUCGCUAGUAAUCGCGGAUCAGCACGCCGCGGUGAAUACGUUCCCGGGCCUUGUACACACCGCCCGUCACACCACGAGAGUUUGUAACACCCGAAGUCGGUGAGGUAACCUUUUGGAGCCAGCCGCCUAAGGUGGGAUAGAUGAUUGGGGUG
rnacentral:rRNA from 1 species